rnacentral:lncRNA from 1 species
AUGUCAGCUCUAACAAUGUACUUUGUUUUCUUCUCACAGGGCAAUCGAGUGCACAGAGAAAUGAAACCUGCACGUCGAAAAGAAACCUGUGGCCAGGGACAAGGCGUCCAAGCGACGUCGCACUUCCUACAAUGUGUGGGAUUGCCAUCGGCCGACACGGGGAGAGACCACAUACGGCGGCUGAAAGGAAUUAUCGAGGCAACAAUGGACGUGUACGCCUUCUUGAGGUCCAGCAUGACAGGAGUGCCACUUCUCAGUCUGCAAGGGGCACUGGACUUUAAACCCGGUGCAGACCCCCUCCACAAUGAAGCCCUGGUCCAGAUGUGGGUGGAGGUGAAGAUAAAGCCGCUGCUGAAAUCCAUCACCAAGCGCUUCCUGUCCUGCCUCAGCACCAAGAACUUCACGUGCUCCACCUACCAGACUGUGUGCGUCUCUUUCCGUCUCUGUCCACACGUGUGCCGCGGUGACCACAUGCAGCUUCUCACCCUCCUCUCUUUCCUCCCCCAGGGUGAGGGAGCUCAGUCGGCAUUAUUCUGGGAUGGAUCCAGUCAGGCAAAAGUGGAUCUACACAUUCUUUAUGUACCCCUUCCUGUCUGGAGACAGGGUAGCUGGUUGUGUGCACCCAAACGAGAGCGGUGA